UACGGAGGGUGCGAGCGUUGUCCGGAAUCAUUGGGCGUAAAGGGCGCGUAGGUGGCGCGGUAAGCGUGCGGUGAAAGCUCGGGGCUCAACCCCGAGUCGGCCGUGCGAACUGCUGUGCUUGAGUGUGGGAGAGGCUCGUGGAAUUGCAGGUGUAGCGGUGAAAUGCGUAGAUAUCUGCAGGAACACCCGUGGCGAAAGCGGCGAGCUGGACCACUACUGACGCUGAAGAACGAAAGCUAGGGGAGCAAACAGG
rnacentral:rRNA from 1 species